rnacentral:rRNA from 1 species
AUGUGAUCGUCUCUCGCAUAUCAAUAAGCGGAGGAAAAGAAACUAACAAGGAUUCCCCUAGUAACGGCGAGUGAAGCGGGAAGAGCUCAAAUUUGAAAUCUUAAAGAGUUUCCCUUUACGAAUUGUAGUUUAAAGAAGUGUUUUCUGUUGAGGUUUUGGUAAAAGUUCUUUGGAAUAGGACAUCAUAGAGGGUGAGAAUCCCGUAUUUGACCUUUACUUUCAACUUUGUGAUACACUUUCAAAGAGUCGGAUUGUUUGGGAAUGCAGUCCAAAAUGGGUGGUAAAUUUCAUCUAAAGCUAAAUAUUGGCGAGAGACCGAUAGCGAACAAGUACCGUGAGGGAAAGAUGAAAAGAACUUUGAAAAGAGAGUUAAGCAGUACGUGAAAUUGUCAAAAGGGAAGCGUUUGACACCAGUGUUGUUUUUCUGAAAAUCAAUUAAAGAACUGUUUAUGCUAAGUUGUUUAGACUUUAUCAGCUAACUGUUUAGUUUUGAGCUUUUCUUUAAUGCACUUUUCAGUUAACAAGUCAACAUCAAUUUCUUUUGCUGUAAAAAAGCUUGAGGAAGGUGGCUUGAGAUUCGUCUUAAGUGUUUAUAGCCUCUUGCCUAUGCAGUCGGAGAGAUUGAGGUCUGCAGCGUAGAUCCUUCGGGGCUAAAUGCAUUUGUGCUAAGUUGUAGCAUUUUAUAGACAACUUGUUGACUAUGAUUUGUCUUGUAGCUUACUCGCUUAUGUUUAUUUUACCUACGCUUAGGAUGUUGAGUAGCGACAUACGCAC